UACGUAGGUGGCAAGCGUUGUCCGGAAUUAUUGGGCGUAAAGCGCGCGCAGGCGGUCCUUUAAGUCUGAUGUGAAAGCCCACGGCUCAACCGUGGAGGGUCAUUGGAAACUGGGGGACUUGAGUGCAGAAGAGGAGAGUGGAAUUCCACGUGUAGCGGUGAAAUGCGUAGAUAUCGGGAGGAACACCGGUGGCGAAGGCGGCGGCCUGGGUUGACACUGACGCUGAGGCGCGAAAGCGUGGGGAGCAAACAGG
rnacentral:rRNA from 1 species